AUGGGCGAGAGCCUGAACCAGCCAAGUAGCGUGCAGGAUGACGGCCCUAUGGGUGUGUAAACUGCUUUUGUAUGGGGAUAAAGUCAAUCACGUGUGAUUGUUUGCAGGUACCAUACGAAUAAGGACCGGCUAAUUCCGUGCCAGCAGCCGCGGUAAUACGGAAGGUCCGGGCGUUAUCCGGAUUUAUUGGGUUUAAAGGGAGCGUAGGCUGGAGAUUAAGUGUGUUGUGAAAUGUAGACGCUCAACGUCUGACUUGCAGCGCAUACUGGUUUCCUUGAGUACGCACAACGUUGGCGGAAUUCGUCGUGUAGCGGUGAAAUGCUUAGAUAUGACGAAGAACUCCGAUUGCGAAGGCAGCUGACGGGAGCGCAACUGACGCUGAAGCUCGAAGGUGCGGGUAUCGAACAGGAUUAGAUACCCUGGUAGUCCGCACAGUAAACGAUGGAUGCCCGCUGUUGGUACCUGGUAUCAGCGGCUAAGCGAAAGCAUUAAGCAUCCCACCUGGGGAGUACGCCGGCAACGGUGAAACUCAAAGGAAUUGACGGGGGCCCGCACAAGCGG
rnacentral:rRNA from 1 species